rnacentral:rRNA from 1 species
AUACGUAGGGAGCGAGCGUUGUCCGGAAUUACUGGGCGUAAAGGGCGCGUAGGCGGCGCUUCAAGUCGUCUGUCAAAUGGGAGGGCUUAACCCUUUUUCGCAGACGAAACUGGAGAGCUUGAGAAGCAGAGAGGCAAACAGAAUUCCUGGUGUAGCGGUGAAAUGCGUAGAUAUCAGGAAGAAUACCAGUGGCGAAGGCGGUUUGCUGGCUGCAUACUGACGCUGAAGCGCGAAAGCCAGGGGAGCGAACGGGAUUAGAUACCCCGGUAGUCCUGGCAGUAAACGAUUUAUGCUGGGUGUGAGACUAGCGAUAGUUUCGUGCCGAAGUUAACGCGAUAAGCAUACCGCCUGGGGAGUACGGUCGCAAGAUUGAAACUCAAAUGAAUUGGCGGGG